UUAAAAAUAAGCUAAAUAAAGCUUUUGGGCUCAUACCUCAAAUAUAAAGGAAUGCCUUUUUUUUAAA
rnacentral:tRNA from 1 species